UGGUCUCGGCUGCAGAAGCGACAUGACGAAGGGAACGUCAUCGUUUGGAAAGCGUCGCAAUAAGACGCACACAUUGUGCCGCCGCUGUGGCUCUAAGGCCUACCACCUUCAGAAGUCGACCUGUGGCAAAUGUGGCUACCCUGCCAAGCGCAAGAGAAGGUAUAACUGGAGUGCCAAGGCUAAAAGACGAAAUACCACCGGAACUGAUCGAAUGAGGCACCUAAAAAUUGUAUACCGCAGAUUCAGGCAUGGAUUCCGUGAAGGAACAACACUUAAACCCAAGAGGGCAGCUGUUGCAGCAUCUAGUUCAUCUUAAGAAUGUCAACGAUUAGUCAGGCAAUAAAUGUUCUGGUUUUAAAAAAUACAAAAAAAAAA